GUUAAAAACACAGCAGCCGAUAAUUCAGUUAAUUUACCAAGUGAUUGAUCCUUCAAAGCUGCAGGAGUAGCUUUCCUAAAGAGUGCAAAAACUUCUUUAGCUUCCAAAAUGGUAUAUAGUACAAACAGUGAAGCUAAUAUAGACAAAUCUGAUCAUUCAUCAUCAACAAUAACUGCAUCUGAGAUUAAUAGUUCUACAGUAACCGAGGGGUCUAGGUCAACAAUUACUAUUUCUCAUCUAAGCCGUUUUUGUUUAACUGCUACACAUUCCCUGACUCUGCCAAGGAAAAGGGUAAAAUCAAAAUGAUAUCCUGAGGACCUAAGCACUGAUGAUUCCACCGUUUCAAAAGCUAAAUCACUUGUUACCAAAUUAUGGAAAAAAAAUAAAGAACAAAAAAUUAAAAUUCGAAGAUUGCAAUAAACAAAUUUGCCCCAAAGAAAUUGAAUUAGAUGUCUCAAUUCAUUAUUUAAAUACUUAAGAAAUAAUAACAUGAUUUUCGAAAAAGUCCAACAUACUACAUAUUU